UACAGAGGGGGCGAGCGUUAUUCGGAAUUAUUGGGCGUAAAGGGCGCGUAGGCGGCUUUUCAAGUGACGGGUGAAAUCCCUCGGCUUAACCGAGGAACUGCCUGUCAGACUGGAAGGCUUGAGACCGGGAGAGGUGAGUGGAAUUCCCAGUGUAGCGGUGAAAUGCGCAGAUAUCAGGAAGAACACCCGUGGCGAAGGCGGUUCUCUGGGACGGUACUGACGCUGAGGCACGAAAGCGUGGGGAUCAAACAGG
rnacentral:rRNA from 1 species